CCCGAGGAUAAAAGCUUUUUGGGAAAUGAUCUAUAAUGAAAUUAAGAAGGUUCUUAAAUGGACCUUCCCUAAAAAACCCGAGGCUUUUCUCCUGGGCAUUGUCGGCCAAUUGGUGAGAAGGAAGGACAGGACGUUUUUUAUGUAUGCGACUACAGCAGCAAGGAUUCUUCUAGCAAAGUAUUGGAAGACACAACAACUACCCACACUGGAAGAAUGGCAGACGAAGGUGAUCGACUAUAUGGGACUGGCGGAAUUGACUGGCAGAAUCCGUGACCAGGGGAAAGAGACAGUGGAAGAAGAUUGGAAGAAAUUUAAAGUUUAUCUUAGAACUUGUUGCAAAAUUCAGGAAUGUUAAAAUGUCAAGGGGUUGGGAAAUAGAGAACUGCAGCUGUAAUUAAUAUUAUUAGAAGAACUUAAAAGAAAUUGAAUUGAAUAAUUAGUUGAUUGAGGAGUUGCUGAAGAAAUAUAAAACAAGGAUGCAGAAAAGGGGAGGUAUGGGGAAGUCCGGAAAGUAAGGCUUAUGAAAAAUGGUUAUGAAAUUAUACAUGUUUAUAUGUUUGUAUGUCGGUGUAUUGUGUAUUGUUUGUUUUCUUAUCUUGUGUUUGGAAAAUGAAUAAAAAUUUAUUU